CGGGGGCGGCGGCUACACAUGCAGUCGAGCGAGAUCUUCGGAUCUAGCGGCGGACGGGUGAGUAACGCGUGGGAACGUACCCUCUUCUGCGGGAUAGCCACUGGAAACGGUGAGUAAUACCGCAUACGCCCUUCGGGGGAAAGAUUUAUCGGAGGAGGAUCGGCCCGCGUUGGAUUAGGUAGUUGGUGGGGUAAUGGCCUACCAAGCCUACGAUCCAUAGCUGGUUUUAGAGGAUGAUCAGCCACACUGGGACUGAGACACGGCCCAGACUCCUACGGGAGGCAGCAGUGGGGAAUCUUAGACAAUGGGCGCAAGCCUGAUCUAGCCAUGCCGCGUGAGUGACGAAGGCCUUAGGGUCGUAAAGCUCUUUCGCCUGUGAUGAUAAUGACAGUAGCAGGUAAAGAAACCCCGGCUAACUCCGUGCCAGCAGCCGCGGUAAUACGGAGGGGGUUAGCGUUGUUCGGAAUUACUGGGCGUAAAGCGCACGUAGGCGGAUUGGAAAGUAUGGGGUGAAAUCCCAGGGCUCAACCCUGGAACGGCCUCAUAAACUUCCAGUCUGGAGUUCGAGAGAGGUGAGUGGAAUUCCGAGUGUAGAGGUGAAAUUCGUAGAUAUUCGGAGGAACACCAGUGGCGAAGGCGGCUCACUGGCUCGAUACUGACGCUGAGGUGCGAAAGUGUGGGGAGCAAACAGGAUUAGAUACCCUG
rnacentral:rRNA from 1 species